AUUGAACGCUGGCGGCAGGCCUAACACAUGCAAGUCGAACGGUAGCACAGAGGAGCUUGCUCCUUGGGUGACGAGUGGCGGACGGGUGAGUAAUGUCUGGGAAACUGCCCGAUGGAGGGGGAUAACUACUGGAAACGGUAGCUAAUACCGCAUAACGUCGCAAGACCAAAGAGGGGGACCUUCGGGCCUCUUGCCAUCGGAUGUGCCCAGAUGGGAUUAGCUAGUAGGUGGGGUAACGGCUCACCUAGGCGACGAUCCCUAGCUGGUCUGAGAGGAUGACCAGCCACACUGGAACUGAGACACGGUCCAGACUCCUACGGGAGGCAGCAGUGGGGAAUAUUGCACAAUGGGCGCAAGCCUGAUGCAGCCAUGCCGCGUGUAUGAAGAAGGCCUUCGGGUUGUAAAGUACUUUCAGCGAGGAGGAAGGUGUUGUGGUUAAUAACCGCAGCAAUUGACGUUACUCGCAGAAGAAGCACCGGCUAACUCCGUGCCAGCAGCCGCGGUAAUACGGAGGGUGCAAGCGUUAAUCGGAAUUACUGGGCGUAAAGCGCACGCAGGCGGUCUGUCAAGUCGGAUGUGAAAUCCCCGGGCUCAACCUGGGAACUGCAUCCGAAACUGGCAGGCUAGAG
rnacentral:rRNA from 1 species